UACGUAGGUGGCGAGCGUUGUCCGGAAUUACUGGGUGUAAAGCGCGUGUAGGCGGGCGGCCAAGUCUGCUGUGAAAGCGCCUGGCUUAACCGGGCGAGGUCGGCGGAAACUGUUCGACUCGAGGACGGUAGAGGGGGGUGGAAUUCCCGGUGUAGUGGUGAAAUGCGUAGAGAUCGGGAGGAACACCUGUGGCGAAGGCGGCCCCCUGGGCCGGCCCUGACACUGAGACGCGAAGGCGUGGGGAGCGAACGGG
rnacentral:rRNA from 1 species